rnacentral:rRNA from 1 species
CUACGUGCCAGCAGCCGCGGUAAUACGGAAGGUCCAGGCGUUAUCCGGAUUUAUUGGGUUUAAAGGGAGUGUAGGCGGUUUGUUAAGCGUGUUGUGAAAUUUAGGUGCUCAACAUUUAACUUGCAGCGCGAACUGUCAGACUUGAGUACACGCAACGUAUGCGGAAUUCAUGGUGUAGCGGUGAAAUGCUUAGAUAUCAUGAAGAACUCCGAUUGCGAAGGCAGCUGACGGGAGCGCAACUGACGCUUAAGCUCGAAGGUGCGGGUAUCGAACAGGAUUAGAUACCCUGGUAGUCCGCACAGUAAACGAUGGAUGCCCGCUGUUGGUACCUGGUAUCAGCGGCUAAGCGAAAGCAUUAAGCAUCCCACCUGGGGAGUACGCCGGCAACGGUGAAACUCAAAGGAAUUGACGGGGGCCCGCACAAGCGGAGGAACAUGUGGUUUAAUUCGAUGAUACGCGAGGAACCUUACCCGGGCUUGAA